rnacentral:lncRNA from 1 species
GAGAGAGCAGAGAGAGAGGUUGAGAGAGGAAGAUCGAGAGGGAGCCUACCUGAGGCAGGGGUGGCGGUGUGACGGAGACAGCGACGGUGACGGAGGGCCUUGCCGGAGGGGCGGAUUUCAGAGAGGAAAAUGGAGGCAGAAAACCCUAGAAUUUGGGCAUUCUUGAGGUAAAAUAGCUAAACGUUUGAUGCUUAUAUAAUUGAACACUUGGGAGCGUGGAAUGUGAUUAUAUGAUAGAAAGUGGGAGAUAUUGGGUAUGCUACUAUGUGUUGAGCCAAUUUUGAUUUAUGAAUAAGGGAAGCACUACUUUUAGUAUUGAUUGGAGAAGUUGUGGUGAUUAAUUGUGUUAUAACUUGCUUGCUUUGUGUUGAUGAGUUAAACAUGAGUUAAAUUUCAAGCUAAAUCAUGCUAAUGUGUAAUAAGAUGAUGUAAUUGAGUCCCUAUGGUUGUAUUUGACAAAAGUAUGAAUUAUAUGUUAAGUUGAAACAAAGGGACUUUGCUGUCAGUUUUCGGCUUGACAGGGCAGUAUGUUUCGAGGUGCUUCUGAUGGUGUUAUCGUAGUCUAAAUAACUUGAAAUUUUUACUGUAAUAACUUCGGCAUGAGUGGUACGUGUCUGCAAAAUUUCAGCUUAAAUCCAACACCGUUAGAUAUGUCAAACGAAUUUCUGAAAUGUACUGCACGAAGAAGCGUAGGUCAGUGGCAGUUUCUGCCUUUGGUGAUAUAACUUCUUAUACACUUGAGACAUUGUAUUUUUGUAAAUUCCUGAUAAAUAUAGACUUUAAUAUCUUUCUAAAAAGAUAAAGCUUGUAUUUUUCUUUGAAGGGGUUGAUUUUAUAUGAUAUUUCAAAGUUGAGAUUCAUAUAUGAUUACAUAUUUGAAGUGACUUUAAUAUGAUUUCAACUUGAGAUAUCCCAAGAAAUAUGAUGUUAUUGUUUGUUUUGCAGUUAGUUAAGUCCAUAAAAGUAGAAUACUCAGAUUAGAGGAUGCAA